AAGCUAACUAAUUGCGAAGGACAAAAUUCUAAAUUGGUAGGUCAGAAGAUGAAAACAUUUUAAAAGACUAUAAUCAGGGUGCAUAGGGGUUAGCACAACGCUUUACAGUACCGGUGACCCGGGUUCAAUUCCCACCACUGCCUGUGAGGAGUUUGUACGUUCUUCCCUGUGACCGUGUGGGUUUCCUCUCGGUGCUCCGGUUUCCUACCACAGUCCAAAGAUAUACCGGUUGGUAGGUUAAUUGGCCAUUGUAAAUUGUCUCGUGAUUAGGCUAGGAUUAAAUGGAAGGUUGUUGGGCGGUGCAGCUCAAAGCGCAGGAGGGACAUGUUCUGCACUGAACAAAUAAAUAAAUGAUUGCUCUUGAAUGAUUCCUUUUGGUUUAAUUCCUACAAUCAGGAGGGGAAAAAACACAACCUCACAACCUCCCCUGACAUUACCCCCGGAUCUGUGGUCUUCUGUUGGUCAGAGAGCCAUACGGCGUGGCAAACAGUCCGUUUGGGUCACAACAUCCGUGGCAACCAGUCGUCGUAAUUUGUAUUAAUCUCUCUAAAUAAAAUAUAACAAAAUACGCCAGCUCCCAUGGUUCAUAACAGCUUGGGAGUCUCACAGUAUUCAUCGUUCACAAUUUCCCAACCGUACCUGCUCAGAUCAAUUCACUUUUGCAUUUCAUUUUAUCCACUGAUUUUAAGACAUGCAAUACAAGGCGUAUGCAUUUAAGCCAGGUCCAAAACUGCCUGUUUUACUCACUAACAAACUUCCAUAAAGAAUCGAGGCUGACAGAGCUGUGAAGUACCGAGGGAGUGCCACAUUGUCAUUUGUGGUCAAGCUUCCACAUGUCUUUUCAAGCGGUCAUAACUGAUCCCAUAGUGUUAUUUUGAUACAAUGGCAAUUAUGGCUUAGUGCCCUCUCCAGUAUUUAUUCCUCGGUCAACAUCACAAAAUAAAGCAUCUAUUCUUUACCGGAUUUCCGCUUCUAGGAGUGUGUUGUAGUUCCAAAACUUAGUGAUUGCCCUUUAAACAAAAACAUUUAAUUGGUUAUUAUGUGUUCCAGGGCACCCAGAAGUCCUGGAGCAAAUUAUGCAUUUCUGAUACAUAUUUGCAUAUAGAAUGUGCAGUUGUGAAAUAUGUGAGUGGAUCUGUACUAAAAAUAACCUUUGAACCUCUGUCACAGUCUCAAUGUAUAAAAUGUUCGAUCUAUUUACAUGCUCGGUUGGUUUUGCAUACAAAACCCAGACGAUAGAAUUUGAAUGAAGUGGCCAACAACCUCUAUGGAGUUUCAAUUACUUUGUAAAUUUACUGAAUUCAGCAGCUCGUUUAACAGCAUGCCUUUUGGCUUAUUAUUCACUGACUUUUACACGGCUCCUCCCAAAGGAAUGGGGCUAGUUAGGGCAGGACACCUGUUGUGCUCUCCAUACGUCACAAAGUUUUCACAUUUCCUGAGCUGCUGGCUGGCGGCGAAGUGGCAUCCACGCCGGACUUUGAGGCGAGUGGUCCCGGGUUCGAAUCCGGCCGGCUCCUUGCACGCUUUCCACCUGUGCGGGGUUGAGCGUCGAGCUAGCAACUCGGCCUCGUAAAAAAAACCAAAGGUUAAAGGAAGGGCGAGGUUGCCGUCUUAUGCGCCAAGCAAGGCGCGGAGCGAGGUAGUCAACUUUCCAAUUGCUUAGUGGUGCUUAUGGGUGCAACGGAGAGGGGACAAAUUAAGUAUUUUUACUCCAUCUUGUGCUCCCUUGAGCUCAUUACUACAUAACUUGUGGUUACUGCUGGAAGGCUUCCAGGAUAAUCACCGUACUGCAGUCAACCAGUUAGGCUCUUACAUAGUUCGUCUUCUUACAUUCACUCCACAAUACUUGGAACACUUGGAACCUAGGAGUCAUACUUCUGACAUGGACCGAGAAGAAAUUCCAUUUAUUAUUGUGUCUAGACAUGGCAGACAGAAUCCAAGUGACUACAGGAGAAGAAAAUAAUCAUUCCAUGACUUGGGAUCUCCUCUUCUUGAAGGUGGUUCAGAGGGGAAAUGAGGAAUGAUAUUUAGAAACAAGUCUAGAGUGGUUGGCCUGUAUGAAGGUUGGGGCUACGUGGUGGCGUGGAGGUUAGCGCAACGCUCUACAGUGCCAGUGACCCUGGUUCAAAUCCUGCCACUGACUAGCGAAGAUGCCUGCCGUGUAUUUGUUUAAUGUGUACUUGAUGUUGCACUCCGAGAAGCACACGAUACUUCACAAAUCAACCAGCUGAUUCCAAUGGCAUGGAAACCACGACGAUGGGAGCUGAUGGAUUUGUUGCAGCCUUCGUCCGCCUUCACAGCCGUUGAGUUUGAAGUGACGUCGUCCGCCUGUUCCACCGUUGAGGUCUUGGUUGGAUUGUUCUUUGUCAGGGACCUCACCCUCGACCUCACCGCCAUGGGUGACCCUACCAGGAGCACAGCUCCAGACGGCAUCGCUCUCGGGAUCUCAGGACCACACGAGCUUCUCCACCACGACAAGUCCACGGAUGAUAUGGUAGUGCCGGAAUCGAUCAGAACUCCUCUCCACAGAUGCUGCCUGGUCUGCUGAGUUCCUCCAGCAUUUUGAGGGUGUUGCUCGGAUUUCCAGCAGAUUUUCUCUUGCUUGCUUAUAAUGGUGGCAUCCAACAUUAAGGACCCCCAUCACCUUCUUCUCAUUGCUGCCGUCAGGGAGGAGGUACAGAAGCCUGAAGACACACACUCAGCGAUUCAGGAACAGCUUCUUCCCCUCUGCCAUCAGGGAGGAGGUACAGGAGCCUGAAGGCACACACUCAGUGAAUCAGGCACCGAGAUACAGUGAAAAGCUGGUGUUUGCGUCCAUUCCGACGGAUCAUUGUACACCCAGGUCGUGCAGAAAGAAAAAAUAACGCAUAGUCUAGUGGAGUAUUACUGUUACUGAGAAAGUACCAUCGUAGAGUAGACAAAUACCGUGCAUGUUAUUCAGUGCUUUAAUCAGUCUUCAAAAGGCAAGUAUUAAGCUUAAGUCAUCCUUGGAUGUAACCAUGGUUAACGUUUCUUUCUUUCUUCCAAUAUUUUUAUUAAGUUUCUUAUACUGUAAACAAAUACAACGUUCAUAAGGAUACUUAUUAUAAAUCAAAAUAAAAUAGCAUAAAAUGCACUGAAUAUGAAUCACACUGAUGCAAUCACGGUAUCCCAUAAUGAUCAAUCAAAUAAAAUAAAUUGAAUGAUGAAAUACCGUAGUAUGGUUAAUUAUAUUUAAAAAAAACUAUACCCCCUACCAAGACAAAGCUGGUUGGUAAAAAAAAGAGAGUACUUUACCAUAGUUUUUAUAGUAAUAGCCCAGAUCUAUAUUUUAAUAACAAUUCAAAGAUUUUUAAAAUAGUUCAGAAAGGGUCCCCGUAA